CUUAUGUAAAUGAGAUAUUUCCGUAUUUCAUUUUCAAUAAAUUUGCUAACAUUUCUAAUGUUUUCACUUAAACUAUUUUGAAUUCAGGUUGUAACACAACACACUGUGGAAUAAGUAAAGGGGUAUGAAUUCUUUCUGAAUGCACUGUAACCCUGUUUUAAUGUUACUCCUGAAUCACUAUGGUCAAUAAAAUACUUUCUUGAGUGUACUCUUAACAGAGCUGAGAUUUAUUUAAAAGUGCAUUUCAAGAAGACGAUGGAGAGAUGUUCAGCUAUAUAGAAUGAAUUAAUACUGAUCAUUGAGAGGUAGUGGACAUGUGGUCAGAAUUUGUGCUCAAGGGGUAAUCCUACAGAUUUCUAACUUUCAUUGAGAAACUGAUUUUAAUUAGAUCAGUUAGGGGUGUUGUAAAUGUUGCCAAAUAAUGACAAAGAUAUUGCUAAGAAUGUGAGAGUAGUGUGAUUCCCCUAGCUGGUUUUCAACUCAGGCCACCAGCACCAAUUAUGAAUGCCCUAACCACUGUCCCAACAAGGGAUACCCUUGGGGCAUGGCUUAUAGACGGGUUGGCUGACAACAUCACGAAAAUGAUGCACUGGCACAUCGAUGUGGCCAGAUGGCAUGCACUGUUAUGAUUAUGAACAGUCAGAUAGCUAGCAACAAUGACAAGAAACUGCCAUGUGGGGAAUCGUAGGUGUCUUGUGUCAGCUUGUUAUAUCUUGUUAUUGUUAUCUGUACAUAGCCCAUCCAAUCUACCUCAUCCCCAUAUUGUAUUUAUUUAUUUAUCUUGCUCCUUUGCACCCCAGUAUCUCUACUUGCACAUUCGUCUUCUGCACAUUCUUCCAUUCCAGUGUUUAAUUGCUAUAUUGUAAUUACUUCACCACCAUGGCCUAUUUAUUGCCUUUACCUCCCUUAUCCUACCUCAUUUGCACAUGCUGUAUAAAGAUUUUCCUACUGUAUUAUUGAUUGUAUGUUUGUUUAUUCCAUGUGUAACUCUGUUGUUGUUGGAUGUGUCAAACUGCUUUGCUUUAUCUUGGCCAGGUCGCAAAUCAAUUAAAAAUAAUUGAUACCAUGUCUUGUUUUCAGGUGUUUUGACGGAUGUCAUGUCUAUGCUAAUAUAUCAAAUUCACUAGCUAGCUAACCAACAACUGUAACAAUGUAUUUGAGAGACAACAAGGGCUCAUUGUGCAAAUAUUUUUAUGUUUUCAAUAAACAUUUGGAAACAAAACAUUGUUUAUAUAUUGUCAACAGUCUAUGCCAACCCCUGCUAUAAUAACAUACUGCAGUUGAUUGACUGGUUCCCCGAGUGACGUCAAAGUCCAUUGUUUCAGAACACCAAACAUCCAGAACGUUCAACCUACUUUGAAAACUGUUGGUUUAAACUUCUUGUAGUUUAUUUUUGGGGAUCAAAUAUUAAUAGUGUUCAAAAUAAUACUAUGGUACCUGGUGAAGUGUUUCUCCAUGAUCCCUUGUUUCAUAUACAGCUUUUAACAUUUUAUUACAUUUAUUUCCAUUUUACAAAGUUCGAUCGCGACAAGAAACGUCAGUUGGCCGGAGCGAUGUGGAUGGGUAGCCAGGCAGGAAUCUGUUUCGAUUUAUCUGUAUAACGUUUUUUGAACAAACUUAAAUGUCCUUAUUUAAGAGAUUUCCGUGUUGUUUUAAAAGCUCUAGCCUAUGUUGCAUUAUCUGACAUUUAGAACUAUUCGUAAAAUAUUUUCUAACUUUGAAAUUUAUAUUUACACUAUGUAUACAAACGUAUGUCGACACCCCUUCAAAUUAGUGGAUUCGGCUAUUUCAGUUACACCUGUUGCUGACAGGUGUAUAAAAUCGAGCACACAGCCAUGCAAUCUCAAUAGAUAAACAUUGACAGUAGAAUGGCCUUACUGAAGAGCUCAGUGACUUUCAACGUGGCACCGUCAUAGGAUGCCCCCUUUCCAACAAGUCAGUUCUUCAAAUUUCUGACCUGCAAGAGCUGUCCCGGUCAACUGUAAGCGCUGUUAUUGUGAAGUAGAAAUAUCUAGGAGCAACAACGGCUCAGCCGCAAAGUAGUAGGCCACACAAGCUCACAGAACGGAACCGCAGAGUGCUGAGGCGCGUAGCGUGUACAAAUCAUCUGUCCUCAGUUGCAACACUCACUACCGAGUACCAAACUGCCUCUGGGAUUAAUGUCAGCACAAAAUUGUUCGUCGGGAGCUUUUUGAAAUGAGUUUCCAUGGUCAAGCAGCCGCACAUACGCCAAAGAUCGGCUGGAGUGGUGUACAGCUCGCAACCAUUGGACUCUGGAGCAGUGGAAACGCAUUCUCUGGAGUGAUGAAUCAUGCUUCACCAUCUGGCAGUAUGACGGACGAAUCUGAGUUUGGCGGAUUCCAGGAGAAUGCUACCUGCCGCAAUGCAUAGUGCCAACUGUAAAGUUUGGUGGAUAAGGAAUAAUUGUCUUGGUUCCAGUGAAGGGAAAUCUUUUUUUAAAACAUUUUUUAAUUGAAUAUUUAAAACAUACAAUCUAUUUCCAGUAAAGCCGCUCAACAUCUACAUCACAUUAGUCAUCUAACAGGACACGUCAACCAAUGUCCCACAAGGUCAAAAACGGGUACCCGAACCAGCGAUCCAUCAGCCACCAGCCCAAGCUCCCAACCACGAGGCCUCCAGCCCUCCAAGAUCCCUCCCACAGUUUUCCAAGAGCUGCCCUCAACCAUCCAAGCCCCCCGAGAAAAAUUCAAUAAUUCCAUUCCCAACCCCCAAGACCCCUGUCCCCCAAGCCCCCGUCCCCAAUGCACCAACAACCAACCAAAUUAACAAAAGACAAAAAAGAGAAAGACAAAGGAAAGCAGAAAACAACAAUGCAGAAAACAAGACAUCAAGGACAACAAAAAUCAUAACAGUGAGGCCAUCUGAAUAUGUUUGAGUGCAUGUAGGUCACUAUUUACAUGUGUGUGUGUCAGUGUAUGUGCAUGUGUGUGCAUUUCAAUGAGAGUGUGUGUAUAUGCAUGUGUAUAAACUAUGCAGGUGCACGGCAUCAGCAUCAGGCAGACUGGCAUUAGCUGUGACAACACUGCCCCCUCAGACCGGCAUUAGCUGUAACAACACUGCCCCCUCAGUGUCAUUCAAACAUACUUUUUGUUCUGUUCUUACUUUUAUCUUUGACCGUCAAUCUAUCCCCCGCACAGCAAAUCCACCCCCACUUGUCUCCAAUUCCACAUCCCAACUUAAUAUUGUACACUUAUCAUAAUAAGGUUUUAGUCCAGAGAGUACAGAAAAGUUAUCUUCAAUUAGAUAUUGCAGGUAUCUAGUCAUCGGCAUACAUGGACACCUUUUCUUUUAAGCGUUGGUUUUCUAAUCCUCUAAUGUUGUUAUUUGAUUUGAUACAGCAUGACAUUCUAGACAAUUUUGUGCUUCUCUUCAGUGCGUCAUAUGAUUGAGUGUAGUCUGGCCCAGGAGUGUGAAGGUGAACGGAAAGGCUCUGGAGCAACGAACCGCCCUUGCUGUCUCUGCCUAGCCGGUUCCCCUCUUUCCACUGGGAUUCUCUGCCUCUAACCCUAUUACAGGGGCUGAGUCACUGGCUUACUGGUGUUCUUUCAUGCCGUCCCUAGGAGGGGUACGUCACUUGAGUGGGUUGAGUCACUGCUGUGAUUUUCCUGUCUGGGUUGGCGCCCCCCCUUGGGUUGUGCCGUGGCGGAGAUCUUUGUGGGCUAUACUCGACCUUGCAUCAGGAUGGACCUGAGCCCUAGGACCAUGCCUCAGGACUACCUGGCAUGAUGACUCCUUGCUGUCCCCAGUCCACCUGGCCGUGCUGCUGCUCCAGUUUCAACUGUUCUGCCUGCGGCUAUGGAAUCCUGAUCUGUUCACAGGACGUGCUACCUGUCCCAGACCUAUUAUUUGACCAUGCUGGUCAUUUAUGAACAUUUGAACAUCUUGGCCAUGUUCUGUUAUAAUCUCCACCCGGCACAGCCAGAAGAGGACUGGCCACCCCUCAUAGCCUGGUUCCUCUCUAGGUUUCUUCCUAGGUUUUUCCUAGCCACCGUGCUUCUACACCUGCAUUGCUUGUUGUUUGGGAUUUUAGGCUGGGUUUCUGUACAGCACUUUGAGAUAUCAGCUGAUGUACGAAGGGCUAUAUAAAUACAUUUGAUUUGAUUUGAUUCUAACUUUGUUGCAACAGUUUGAGGAAGACCCAUUCUGUUUCAGCAUGACAAUGCCCCGGUGCACAAAGCGAGGGCCAUUCAGAAAUAUUUUGUCGAGAUCGGUGUGGAAGAACUUGACUGGCCUGCACAGAGACCUGACCUCAACCCCAUCGAACACCUUUGAGCCAGGCCUAAUUGCCCAACAUCAGUGUCCAACCUCACUAACGCUCUUGUUGGCUGUGUGGUAGCAGUGGUCUAACGCACUGCAUCUCAGUGCUAGAGGUGUCAUUACAGCCCCUAGUUCGAUCCCGGGCUGCAUCAUAACCGUCCGGUAUCGAGAGUCCCAUAGGGUGGCGCACAAUGGUCCCAGCGUCGUCCGGCUUAGGGGAGGGUUUGGCCGGGGUAGGCCGUCAUUGUAAAAUAAGAAUUUGUUCUUAACUGACAUGCCUGGUUAAAUAUAAAUAAAUAAAAAAUAGCAGCAAAGGGGGGACCAACUCCAUAUUAAUGCCCAUGAUUUUGGAAUGAGAUGUUCGACGAGCAGGUGUCCACAUACUUUUGGUAAUGUAGUGUAUUUAGGCCUUGAUGUUUGUUUUUGUAUUUGGAAGAAGUAUGCCAGUUGAUUUAUUUGAUUCAAGUAUCCAACCACCCCCCAAAAAAUUUAAAGUAAACUCUCAUUAGGAUCACCAUUUUUAUCUGUGCUUAUCUUUUUAUUUUCAAUCAAGUACAGAAUAAAGCUAUUCCUGAAUUAAGUUAUAUUUGCAUGCUUUGAUUUUCAUGUGCCCAAUAUAUUUUUGGUGCUUCUCAGUCACAUUCUUUUAAUUUGUAAUUGUAAUUGCGUUUCCAACUGAAAAGGUUAUGUGUUAUCCGUUACAUAUUCUAAAUCACAAUCUUCUCUGAACAAAAUGUCUCUGAGGCACUUUUAGGUAUGUGAAGAGGCAGAAAUUGACAUCCUGUCACAUACAUGUCAUUUUCAAUGUAGCUUAAUUUAUAUCUCUUUUUUAUUACUUUUUUAAAUCAUUUAUAUUCGUAAAGAUAUUCUUUAAAAAAAAGAGAAUUAUGUUAACAUGGUCAUUGUGUGUUUGAAAUUACCUUUCAAAAUGGGAAAAUAAAGCAUUUUGACCCUUCUA
ensembl:lncRNA